AACGAACGCUGGCGGCAUGCCUAACACAUGCAAGUCGAACGAGACCUUCGGGUCUAGUGGCGCACGGGUGCGUAACGCGUGGGAAUCUGCCCUUGGGUUCGGAAUAACAGUUGGAAACGACUGCUAAUACCGGAUGAUGACGUAAGUCCAAAGAUUUAUCGCCCAGGGAUGAGCCCGCGUAGGAUUAGCUAGUUGGUGGGGUAAAGGCCUACCAAGGCGACGAUCCUUAGCUGGUCUGAGAGGAUGAUCAGCCACACUGGGACUGAGACACGGCCCAGACUCCUACGGGAGGCAGCAGUGGGGAAUAUUGGACAAUGGGCGAAAGCCUGAUCCAGCAAUGCCGCGUGAGUGAUGAAGGCCUUAGGGUUGUAAAACUCUUUUACCCGGGAUGAUAAUGACAGUACCGGGAGAAUAAGCCCCGGCUAACUGCGUG
rnacentral:rRNA from 1 species